rnacentral:snoRNA from 1 species
CCCCUUUAUAAAUCAUUCAUCGGACCUUUUGUUUAUGACUCACAGAGUCAUCAAGAAAGGACAGAGUAAAAACACCAAUUUUGGAAGUUGUGUGAUAUUUGCUGUGGGAAAG